rnacentral:rRNA from 1 species
UACAACUUUCAGCAAUGGAUCUCUUGGCUCUCCCAUCGAUGAAGAACGCAGCGAAAUGCGAUAAGUAAUGUGAAUUGCAGAAUUCAGUGAAUCAUCGAAUCUUUGAACGCACCUUGCGCCCUCUGGUAUUCCGGCGGGCAUGCCUGUUUGAGUGUCAUUAU